CUUGUGCAGUGGACUCCUUCAUAUGCACUGCAGCAAGGUGGUGUAUCUAGAAGGAGGAAUCGUUAAUUAUUUCAUGUAAUGCGAUUAAUAACAAGCCAUGCAAAUUUCUCAAAAUUGUUUUGAGGUCACGCAUUGAUUGCAGUGUGCAACACACUAAACCAUGUCCCAUCUAAAUUGGUUAACAGAACUCCAUACGAGUUAUGGAAAGACAAUAGUCCCAAUUUAUCUUAUAUGAAAGAUUGGGGCCAUGACGCUUAUUUGAAGCGCCUUAAAUCGGAUAAGUUUG
rnacentral:lncRNA from 1 species